CUGGCUUCCGUGGCCAGCGGGUCGCCAGAAGGUUUCUCCAGCCCUGCGAUGAACACGGUCGCUGCUCGGUUGCUUUUGAAUUCUGGGUUUUCUUUUCUUUUUUUCCACUCCCCGCGUCAGAUUUUUUUGCAACGUUUUUUUCUAGGUGGAAAGCAAAGGAAAGAAACCAACAAAUACUUCCUCGUAGAGAAGGAAGAAAAAGACGAUGUAGAUUAUUUUGUAUUUCUUGCAUCAUUGUAUAAAGCGCAGAGGACGGGAGUGCAAUACGGAAAGUCCCACGGCUCUGAGAGGAGGGAAGCCAGAGCGCGCCCGGCACGGCCAGGGCAGAAAUGCUCCCUCUCUUCCUGGACACUUCUGGGAUCUGGUGGCAGGACCCACCAUCCCUGGCAGCAGUGGAGGAGUCCUGGGAUGUGGCAGAGAUGGCAGCUCUGCAGAAGGCUGUAGGGGAAGACUCGGACCUGAGCCGCCUGGAGGGGGACAGUGCGGAGGAGCUGGGUGUGCAGGACCCAGAGUUGGAAGCCAUCAAAGCCAGAGUGCGGGAGAUGGAGAAAGAGGAUGAGAGGCUGAAGGAGUUGCAGCUGGAAGCUGAGAGCCGCUUCAUCAUGAGCUCGGAGGCAGGUCUGUUCCCAAAGACGACAGAGGAGAAAAUGGAGGUUGACCAGCGAUCCAUCUAUGUGGGCAAUGUAAGUGGGAAGCCACACAUGCUGGUUGGAGUCCCUGGAACAGUCCCCAGCAGCAGCUCUUUGCCGGAGUGUGUUUGCCCCAGCUGGCUGGUUCCAUCCCAAGCACUGUGCCUCUCCCCAGCCCAGAUAAGGAAUAUGGUUUGAGUCUUACAGUUCAGCUUCUGCCCUGAUCCCUAGCUGCUUGCAGUGUG
rnacentral:lncRNA from 1 species